rnacentral:rRNA from 1 species
AGAUUGAACGCUGGCGGCAGGCCUAACACAUGCAAGUCGAGCGGUAGAGAGGUGCUUGCAUCUCUUGAGAGCGGCGGACGGGUGAGUAAUGCCUAGGAAUCUGCCUAGUGGUGGGGGAUAAACGUUCGGAAACGGACGCUAAUACCGCAUACGUCCUACGGGAGAAAGCGGGGGACCUUCGGGCCUCGCGCCAUUAGAUGAGCCUAGGUCGGAUUAGCUAGUUGGUGAGGUAAUGGCUCACCAAGGCGACGAUCCGUAACUGGUCUGAGAGGAUGAUCAGUCACACUGGAACUGAGACACGGUCCAGACUCCUA